rnacentral:rRNA from 1 species
GACGAACGGGGGAGGAGGGAGGAAUACAUGCAAGUUGAGCGCUGAAGGUUGGUACUUGUACCAACUGGAUGAGCAGCGAACGGGUGAGUAACGCGUGGGGAAUCUGCCUUUGAGCGGGGGACAACAUUUGGAAACGAAUGCUAAUACCGCAUAAAAACUUUAAACACAAGUUUUAAGUUUGAAAGAUGCAAUUGCAUCACUCAAAGAUGAUCCCGCGUUGUAUUAGCUAGUUGGUGAGGUAAAGGCUCACCAAGGCGAUGAUACAUAGCCGACCUGAGAGGGUCCUCCACCACAUUGGGACUGAGACACGGCCCAAACUCCUACGGGAGGCAGCAGUAGGGAAUCUUCGGCAAUGGACGAAAGUCUGACCGAGCAACGCCGCGUGAGUGAAGAAGGUUUUCGGAUCGUAAAACUCUGUUGGUAGAGAAGAACGUUGGUGAGAGUGGAAAGCUCAUCAAGUGACGGUAACUACCCAGAAAGGGACGGCUAACUACGCU